GGCAAGUCAGAAGUGAAAGCCCAGGGCUUAACCCUGGAAGUGCUUUUGAUACUGCAGAUCUUGAGUGCGAUAGAGGAUAGUGGAAUUCCUGGUGUAGUGGUGAAAUACGUAGAUAUCAGGAGGAACACCGGCGAGGAAGCCGGCUGUCUGGAUCGACACUGACGCUCAGACCCGAAAGCGUGGGGAUCAAACAGGAUUAGAUACCCUGGUAGUCCACGCCGUAAACGAUGAACACUUGGUGUUGGUGGUAUCGACCCCAUCAGUGCCGUAGCUAACGCGAUAAGUGUUCCGCCUGGGGAGUACGGUCGCAAGAUUAAAACUCAAAGAAAUUGACGGGGGCCCGCACAAGCGGUGGAGCAUGUGGUUUAAUUCGAUGCAACGCGCAAAACCUUACCUGGUCUUGACAUCUAGUGGAAGGAUCCUGGAAACAGGUCCGCCUUCGGGCCGCUAGACUGGUGCUGCAUGGCUGUCGUCAGCUCGUGUCGUGAGAUGUUGGGUUAAGUCCCGCAACGAGCGCAACCCUUAUGUUUAGUUGCCAGCAUUUAGUUGGGCACUCUAGACAGACUGCCGACGUUAAGUCGGAGGAAGGUGGGGAUGACGUCAAGUCCUCAUGGCCCUUAUGACCAGGGCCACACACGUGCUACAAUGGUCGGUACAAAGGGCAGCGAAGCUGCAAAGUGUAGCCAAUCCCAUAAAGCCGAUCUAAGUUCGGAUCGAGGUCUGCAAUCCGACCUCGUGAAGCUGGAAUC
rnacentral:rRNA from 1 species